rnacentral:lncRNA from 1 species
UUGUGUGUCUAAUUUCUGUUCACAGUUCUGAUCUUAUUUGUUCCUCCAAUUUCUUAUUCGUACCUGAUAGCCAGUGUGGUCUCUGCAUGUUAAUAUGAAGUGUUGGUGCAAAAGGUGAGAAUUCUCACUAAGGAAUCAAUUCCCACCAAGUUUUCGUAAUUUGUAUGUGUCAUAUAUAGGCAGUUAGUUAUUCCAUUCUAAUGAAAAAAUGUUUAAUUCACCAUUGCAUUCCAACCUCUUUUAUGCCACCUCUAUGGACGAUUUAUCUCAGUUAAAUAUAGGUUUGUAGAAUCGUAAUCUAUAUGCAAAACUGUAGGCAUCAAAACCCAUUCUUUUAUUCUCCUACUGUGGUUGCUUCUAAUGAAAGACCUCUUGUGAUUGAAGAUAUUGGGAAUCAGAUUAAGCAACUGCAAACCUAGAAGGUGCAGUAGAUUGAAUUACUUAACUAGAAUUAUUGAAUUGUAAUUUGUUACACUUCUUUCUUAAAGAUUCUAUAUUUAUGGCAAUCAUUUUGCAUGCUAGCUGCAUUUUUGACAUUUGUUGUCAACUGAUUAUAGAGUACGGUAGCACAUGUGGAAGUCACCUAAAUUGUUUGUGCAGUUGGAUAUAAUUCAUGUAUAAGAUUAUGAUUUGCUCAGUUUUCUCAAGUAUAUCUGCACCAACUCCAAGACAGGUGCAUCUUUUACUUCCUGCUAAUUCUACUCAAUUCACCAGCAGUUCUGACCAAACUGCAGGAUAAGUGGUAAAUCAGAAAGGUCAUAUCUUGAGUAAUCCUUAGAUUGCAGCAGGACUAAGAGAAGCUACUGCUACUUAAGUGGCAUGUUCUAAGUCUAGCCUUGCAAGUUAUUAUCUUUGCUCUCUAGAGUUUAAGGAAAAAGACACACUCAAGAAGAGGUUGAUGUCGUUCAAGUAGAGUGUGCAGAGCAGGUUGAUGGAUAUAUCCAAGAUGAACUAAAAUAGUUAGCAUAUGUAUAUGCAGUCUUACUUUUGGUAUGAAUCAAAUUAGUUAUAUAUAUUUGAAGCCUGCUUAGUGUAGCAGCAACUUUGAAUUAAAUUGGUCAAAACAGUAGAGUAGGAUAUUUUGGAUCUUUAUGCUCCUUUAAUGAGAUGGACUUAUGGUGUUUAUAGACUACUUGUAUUGGAUAUUUUCUAUAUCAGUUUU